rnacentral:rRNA from 2 species
UAUAUACUGUCUCAUAUAUAUAUUAUGAAUUUAAAAUUUUAAUUAAAAUGUUAAAAUUUUUUUAUGGGACGAUAAGACCCUAUAGAAUUUUAUAUUAAUUUAUUUAUUUAAUUAAUAAAUAAUUUAAAUUAAUAUUUAAUUGGGAGGAUUAUUAAAUUUAAAAAACUUUAAUUUUUGAAAACUUUAAUUAAAGAAAAAUAUUAUGAUCUUGAAUUUUAAAUUAUUAGAAUAAAUUACCUUAGGGAUAACAGCGUAAUAUUUUUUUAUAGAUCUUAUAGAAAAAAAUGAUUGCGACCUCGAUGUUGAAUUAAGA